AGCAGCCGCGGUAAUUCCAGCUCCAAUAGCGUAUAUUAAAGUUGUUGCAGUUAAAAAGCUCGUAGUUGAAUUUCGGGAUUGGCGUGUCGGUCGUGCCUUACGGGGUAUGAACUGGCGUCGUCGAUUUCUCACCUUCUGGAGAAUCACGAUGCCCUUAAUUGGGUGUCGUGUGGAACCAGGACCUUUACCUUGAAAAAUUAGAGUGUUUAAAGCAGGCAUUUUGCUCGAAUACAUUAGCAUGGAAUAAUAAAAUAGGACGGUUUGGUUCUAUUUUGUUGGUUUCUAGGAUCACCGUAAUGAUUAAUAGGGAUAGUUGGGGGCAUUAGUAUUCAAUUGUCAGAGGUGAAAUUCUUGGAUUUAUUGAAGACUAACUACUGCGAAAGCAUUUGCCAAGGAUGUUUUCAUUAAUCAAGAACGAAAGUUAAGGGGAUCGAAGACGAUCAGAUACCGUCGUAGUCUUAACCAUAAACUAUGCCGACUAGGAAUCAGACGAUGUUAAUUUUUUAAUGACUCGUUUGGC
rnacentral:rRNA from 1 species